rnacentral:rRNA from 1 species
UACGAAGGGGGCUAGCGUUGCUCGGAAUCACUGGGCGUAAAGGGUGCGUAGGCGGGUCUUUAAGUCAGGGGGGAAGUCCUGGAGCUCAACUCCAGAACUGCCUUUGAUACUGAAGAUCUUGAGUUCGGGAGAGGUGAGUGGAACUGCGAGUGUAGAGGUGAAAUUCGUAGAUAUUCGCAAGAACACCAGUGGCGAAGGCGGCUCACUGGCCCGAUACUGACGCUGAUGCACGAAAGCGUGGGGAGCAAACAGG